UACAGGGGGGGCAAGCGUUGUUCGGAAUUACUGGGCGUAAAGGGUCUGUAGGUGGCCAACUAAGUCAGACGUGAAAUCCCUCAGCUUAACUGGGGAACUGCGUCUGAUACUGGAUGGCUUGAGUUUGGGAGAGGGAUGCGGAAUUCCAGGUGUAGCGGUGAAAUGCGUAGAUAUCUGGAGGAACACCGAUGGCGAAGGCAGCUCGCUGGGACGGUACUGACGCUGAGGCGCGAAAGCGUGGGGAGCGAACAGG
rnacentral:rRNA from 1 species